UACAGAGGGUGCGAGCGUUGUCCGGAAUCACUGGGCGUAAAGGGCGCGUAGGUGGCCCGACAAGUCUGUGGUGAAAGCUCGACGCUCAACGUCGAGUCGGCCAUAGAUACUGUUGGGCUGGAGCACUGUAGAGGCUCAUGGAAUUCCGGGUGUAGCGGUGGAAUGCGUAGAGAUCCGGAAGAACACCGGUGGCGAGGCGGUGAGCUGGGCAGUAGCUGACGCUGAAACACGAAAGCCGUGGGUAGCAAAACAGG
rnacentral:rRNA from 1 species